UUUCCUAGGGUUCCUUUACUGCCUUUCUACCUCAGAACACCAAACCCUAGCCGCCAUAUCCGUUUUUGAGCUAGAUCUUGCCUUGAAGAGUGCACUAAAGCUUGGAGGAGGAAGAAAGACCUUGGAGGUGCAAGAAGGGACUGUAGAUCUGGGAUUGAGGAGUCAUUUCAGACCAAUUGGAGGUAAUAAGUUGUUGCUUGGACUCCCUUUGCAUCUAGAUCUAUUCUUAUGUGUGAGUUUUGGUCAUUAUUGGUAUGAUAUGUAACCAAUUCGAGUUGGAGGUUCAGAUCUGAGGUUGCUACCUCAGAUCCAUGUUGGUUUUGGUCUUGAAUCCCCUAAAGUAUCAGCCCUUGGUAUGUUGAAGAGGCAUGUUUGCCAUAAACCCUAGUUUAGUGUGUUUUGAGCAUAGAUCUCUCAAUCUACACGUAAAGUUUGCCACUUUACGUGGGGAAUAGGCCCUAGAAGUAUAGAUCUAUGAGUUGGAAGCUCUGUUUGGCUCGAAAAGCCACUGCAUGGAUUGAGGACUGGAUAGACUCGGCGAGUCCUUCGAGUGGACUCGGCGAGUAGCUUGAAGAUGAGGAGGAACUCGACGAGUAGGAUGAACAGCUCGUCGAGUCGGAUGAAGUUAGGCAUGGACUCGGCGAGUUGGAUGAACAACUCGACGAGUUGGUUGAAGAUUGUCUAGGACUCGGCGAGUCUGUUCUUGGACUCGGCGAGUCAGAUCGCGAAACCCUAAACCCUUUGAGUUGAGACUCGAAUCAGUGAGUCGGGUGGUGACUCAGCGAGUUGGACAGGUCAGGACUUGGAACUAGUUGGACUCGGCGAGUCAUGGACUGACUCGGCGAGUCGGGUCGCGAAUAAGAAAGACCCUGAGCUUAUGAACUCGGCGAGUCUUUAGGAAGACUCGGCGAGUAAGGUUGACCUGGAAGGUUGACUUUAACCAGAGUUGACUUAGUUGACUGUCAGAUUAAGUGUUAUAUGUAUAUUGAUAGCUCGGAGAGCUAGAGGAGCAGCGGUUCAGGGGAUUGUCGAGUAGCAGCCAGAGGUUUAUCAGCAGGGCUCAGCAGUUCAGGUGAGUUUCCUUCCAGUAGGAACGGGUCUAAGGCCACAAUGCCGGCCCGUUUAGCUAGCAGUAGUUUUCGGAUGUUGAUCUGAUACAGUAGUUAGUAUGUUUGAUGCCUUCGUGGCUCAGACAGGAUUUAUGUGUUAUGUGUUCCGGGCUACGGCCCGAAGUAGUAUGCAGUAUACGUGUGUUCAUGCUAGUUGAUAUGUUUAUGUUAUGUUCUGUUCAGUUAGCCCGGACUUCGGUCCGAUGCAGGGGACAAGGUCCCAGUUAGUCCGGACUUCGGUCCGAUGCAGGGGGCAAGGCCCCAGUUAGCCCGGACUUCGGUCCGAUGCAGGGGACAAGGUCCCAGUUAGUCCGGACUUCGGUCCGAUGCAGGGGGCAAGGCCCCAGUUAGCCCGGACUUCGGUCCGAUGCAGGGGACAAGGUCCCAGUUAGUCCGGACUUCGGUCCGAUGCAGGGGGCAAGGCCCCAGUUAGCCCGGACUUCGGUCCGAUGCAGGGGACAAGGUCCCAGUUAGUCCGGACUUCGGUCCGAUGCAGGGGGCAAGGCCCCAGUUAGUCCGGACUUCGGUCCGAUGCAGUGGGCAAGGCCCAAUAUGUGCUUUAUAUGUUUUUGUGUGGUAUGUGGUAGAUUGGGGGAGCUCACUAAGCUUCGUGCUUACGGUUUUCAGUUUUGGUUUCAGGUACUCGGUUUUCAAAAGAGGAGCUCGGGAAGAUUGCAGAGCACACACCAUAGUCAGUUAGCCUGGGAAUGUUUGACUCUGAUAAUGAUAUUAUGUUUUGAAUUUAAUACUCAAAAGUUAUGUUUGACUUAUGAUACGUUGUUUAUAAAUCUAUUUUUAGUAAUGUUUUAAAAGAAAUUUUUAGUCGUGAUUUUUGGGUCGUUACAAGUUGGUAUCAGAGCCUUGGUUUGAGGGAUUCGGGCGCACUCCUGAGUGUGUCUGAACUCAAACUAAGGAAGUGGUAUAUAGUUUUCAAAAGAAAAAUCGUAGUUACAAAAGAAUUUUGAGAAAAGAAAACAAUUUUAGAAAAAGCAAAAAGAGUUUUGAAAAGAGAAAAGGGUGUGGUGCAUGCAAUCAGCCGAGCUCAAGUAAGUACUCCCAAUUUACCCAUACAAGUUAUAUUAUGAUUAUCAGUAUCGGUUUCAGUUUCAGUUUCAGUUCCAGCUUCAGUAGAACAGCAUGCUAGAAUAGGACUAAGGAUCUAGGAUGAUGCCUUAUGUGCCUGCUUUAUGUGUUCAGCUUUAUGAGAAUUGCAUGUUAGUAUUGAGUAGACAGCAGUAGGAUAGCCUGUUUAGGUUAUGCCUGGUAGCACGAGCUUAGCAUUGUAUGCUAGUGUAGUUUCUCGUUAUGAGAAUAGUUUUGCCUGAGUAUGUCUCCUUUAUCCGAUUGCUGCUUGCUUUGUGCUUUGUGGGACUCUGAGUGAUGAGAGUUAGCCAUUAGGUGAAUACGUUUCAUCACAUGUGAUCAGGGUUGAAUAAUCUCAGAGUGCUGGAUUUGGCCCUAUUGCGCAGCUCUCGUUUGAGUCCAACCGUUGUAGGGACGAGUCUUUUACUUGAAGGAUUAUCUGAGCCUCGUCACAUGUGAUGGUAUUCAGGUGGUGACUAAUUGGCAUUACUAGGAGGCCUUCAGCAGCUGAGGACUGUGUGGGUAGAGUCAGAGGUUCCCUAGGGCAAGCCUAGGAUGAGAGUAGCAGAGAUCAGUAGAAGAGUAAAGGGGACUGGGUGGAGUUGAGGUAACUCUUGAGGAAAGUAUGGAUAGAUGUGGAAGGUAGUAGGGGCCCAUACUACUGAAAGCAGAGGAUCCGUACUCGAUUCAAGAGGGGCCAAGACGAAACCAGGAAUGGGGUAGUGAGUGAGAAAUUCCUCAGCAGUAGUAUGUAAAUUGAUCAGGAUUUUGUUAUAUUUUCAGCAUGGUGACGUUGCGCGAGAUACCAGUUAGCAGUUCAGGUGUCGAGGAGGGGUCUGGCUCGGGCUUCAGAGCCGGGCAGCUUGAUGAUCAGAUGAGGGAUUUCAUUUCCGCAGAGAUUACGCGCAACAUCAUUGAUCAGACUCCAGUGAUUUUCGGUUCGGUUAGAGAGGCCAUUGUGGAGCUCAUGGACAGUCAUCUUGAGGCCUUUAAGGCCGGGUUAGUUUCAGGACAGAUUGGGGCUCGUCUAGGUCCCGAAUCUUAUGGAGUUCAGGGAUCCAUCAGGGAGGGAGAUCCUAUUUCUAGUUCCUGCCAUCAGGGGGCAGGGGUGAGUGGGGAAUUCUGUCUCCAAGAGAGACCAUUGCAUGAUUGGAUAGUUGAGGAAGUUUCGCGAGCCAUUUGCGAGGAGCUGCCCGACAUGGUUGUGAGGAUCACUGAUAGAUUGAUAGCGAGGCUUCAGGAUCAGACAUCUGUUGUUCAGUUAGCAGGCGUUGCCGUUGGGGUAACGCAGGAGCGAGAGUCGGGCAGGGAGUCAGAAGGGAAAAGGAAAAUUGAUGAGACUCAGGUAGCCACAGGUUCGGGUAAGAGGCCCAAGGGUCCAGAUUUGAGGACGAGGAACUAUCAGAGCCGCAGUCGAUGCGGGAAGUGCGGAAGGACGCACAUGGGUGUGUGUAGGCGUAGAAGUGGUGGCGAUGCUGGGUGUUUCAAGUGCGGCCAGAUUGGUCAUUUUAGCAGAGACUGUGUUGUUACCAUCGCCCAGGGGCUUGAUCCGUUAUGUUUCCAUUGCAGUCAGAGGGGCCACAAGAAGGCCCACUGUCCGAGUUUGUAUCCAGCAGGGCAGGUGCCAGCUCCUGCCCUUGGGACUUCGAGUACCGCCAGCAGUUGUCGAGGCCGGGCAAGGGUGCCUACGGCUCAGAGCCGAGUUUUCCGGUAGAUUUCAGCAGGGAUUCGAGCAGCACUGAGUAAUGAAGGUACGUAACUUUUGUUUUUCUGUCAGCUUAUGUCAUGAUUAUAUUGUUAUGGUUCUGCAUCAAAUUGUGGUAUAAGUGUUGUGUUAUAGUGUGGCUUGCUUGUGAUUAUGUUAUAUGCCAUUUGCAUACCUCGGAUAAUUGGUUGGUAGUUAGGGGAUGUGCUCUUAUGGAGAAGGUUUCGGAGGAUGCAGUAACUGUAGCAUGGUUGAGAGAGAUUUGGUUCGUUUCACUAGUUCGGAGUGGUUAGUGAUUGGGAUGGAUUGGUUAAAUUCCUACCUGGCAGGCUUGGGUUCCCUAGUAGAUGUUCCGGAAUGGUAGUGAAGAUCAGGAUCUCUUUUGAGUGUGAAGCAGCAAGGGGUAAGCAGGAUCGAAGUGGGGGAGAACCCUCCGAGUAUUCAUGGAUAAGAGACACGUAGACCCAGAAUGAGUGCGCAGCCUCCGAGAAGAAAUGGUAGUAGCACAGUGAUGGAUGGAUUGAGAAGUUCAGAAUUGGGAGUUCGAGAACUUUUCCCAGCAGUUAGUUCAUGUAAUCGAGAUGGUUAGAAGCUGGUUGGGAAUCCAGGAUUGGAGGACCACCUGUCGGACGCAUGAGAGUCGGAAUGAAGAUCCUGAGAACGGGUAACAAGAGAUGUUUUCGUAUUAGUAGCCAGUGUCUGAGGCAGCAUGCAGGUUGCGUAGAUUCAGGAGUUGGGAGGUUGGAAACUUCCCAACAAUAGCUUCUUGUAUCCGGAUUAGUAGACGGUUGGUUUGGGAACCAAGCCGAAGGAUUCCUCGACGAAGCGCUAAGUAUAUCAAGGAUAUAAGAUGUCGAGGAUGAUGCAGAAUUCAAAGACUGAGGACUGGUUUGAGAAAUCGGGAUGAGGAAUCACUAGCGGAACUAGGGAUAGUCAGGAUGUCCUCGGGAUAGAGUAGUAGUAGUGGUGUUGUAAGUCUGCGGGGGUAGCCGUAGCAUUCACUAGUAGCCAUAUAGUACUAGAGAGUUGUAAGUCCGCGAGCGUAGUCGCAGCCUUUAUCAGAUUGGUAGGUGGCAUGAGCGCGUGUUGGACGCGGAAAAGUAGUAGUACCCACCAGUUCUAGUGCAGCAGUGAGGAUAUGGGAAUCCACGGGUUAGAUUUCGGAUUUCCCAAAUGGUUCAGUGAUGGCUAAGUCAGCAAUUUUGGCUAUAGAACGUUGCAUCAGUUAUGAGAUCAGAGUAGUAGUGGACCGUUGGGGUUCGGGUAUGUUAAGGGCUACCGUCAGUCUGGGAGCCAUCAUGAUGUUAGUCGUGGAAUUGAUGAUGUCAGGAUGUGACGUAUGGACCCGAUCGGUUGGAUCGGAAGGUUGCUAGAGCCACAGUGACAGGAUAACUAGUGGAAACUAGUCCUAGAGGAAGAUUUCGUUCAGAAGUCGUGGAAGCGACUAAGUGAGGAGUCCCUUGACUCCACAGUUGGGUUGGAGUUCAGUGUUUCAGGCAGCUCAGUGUUUCAGCCAGUUCAGUGUUUCAGGCAGCUCAGUGUUUCAGGCAGUUCAGUGUUUCAGGCAGCUCAGUGUUUCAGUCAGUUCAGUGUUUCAGGCAGCUCAGUGUUUCAGUCAGUUCAGUGUUUCAGGCAGUUCAGUGUUUCAGUCAGUUCAGUGUUUCAGGCAGCUCAGUGUUUCAGUCAGUUCAGUGUUUCAGGCAGCUCAGUGUUUCAGUCAGUUCAGUGUUUCAGGCAGCUCAGUGUUUCAGUCAGUUCAGUGUUUCAGGCCGUUCAGCGUUUCAGUCGGUUCAGCGUUUCAGGCAGUUUAGUGUUUCAGGCAUGUUCAGUAUUGCAGGCAGUUCAGUGUUUGGAAGGUUUCAGGGUUUUGGGUCAGUAUUGUAUUUGCGUUGGAAUGCAAGUGCUGACGAUAUAGUUGGUUGAUUUGGAAAUGGCAAGUCCCUCUCAGCAGGAUCAGUUGAGCCUUUUGCCGAGUAUAAGUGAUCUGUAAGGAUAGCUAGGCAGGUAGCUUUUCAUUCAGGAGGGAAGGCUCGAGUUAGUAGGAGAUGAGUAAUCAGGUGGGAUAAAAGCAAGCUGGUUCCAGCAGCAUCGUUUCAGUAUGAGCGGCAGAAUGGAUAGAACAGUUAUAGAUAGUCGAAGUAUCUUCAGGAGUCGCUGGAAGAGACUAGGAGUUUGCGAUGGAGUGUAGUGACCGGUGGGAGUCCGGUAACUCAGAUAUCGGGAGAUUGGUUAGACCAGAGUAGUCUCAGUGCAUCCGGUAGGCGGAUGGGAGGCAGCAGGAUUUUCAGUCGGAGGAAGUAACGUUGAGGAAAUUAUGGAAAAGAGAAGGAUUCAGUAUGUUCCAACGGUAAUGAUCGGCAUGGUGAGUGGCUGGAGUGUCGGACAAAAGGGUGUUAGAUUUUCCAGACAGAGAAUUGGAGGCAGUUCGCAGGCAGUUGAUCAUAGCAAACUUCGAGGACGAAGUUUAGUUUAAGUGGGGGAGAGUUGUAACACCCCAAAGUUUGGAAAGCCAAGAAAAGAAAGAAAACCUCAAGUUUAGGGGAGACUCGGCGAGUCCAUGGAGGGACUCGGCGAGUCCGAGCGGGAUCCGGGUUGUGGUGAAAGCGACCGACUCGGCGAGUCGGCCAAGGAGACUCGACGAGUUGGGUCUGAUCGAGGAAAACCCUAAAUCCGGGACUUGGAGCCUAUUUAAGCGUCUCAUUCUCUUUCCUAGGGUUCCUUUACUGCCUUUCUACCUCAGAACACCAAACCCUAGCCGCCAUAUCCGUUUUUGAGCUAGAUCUUGCCUUGAAGAGUGCACUAAAGCUUGGAGGAGGAAGGAAGACCUUGGAGGUGCAAGAAGGGACUAUAGAUCUAGGAUUGAGGAGUCAUUUCAGACAAAUUGGAGGUAAUAAGCUGUUGCUUGGACUCCCUUUGCAUCUAGAUCUAUUCUUAUGUGUGAGUUUUGGUCAUUAUUGGUAUGAUAUGUAACCAAUUCGAGUUGGAGGUUCAGAUCUGAGGUUGCUACCUCAGAUCCAUGUUGGUUUUGGUCUUGAAUCCCCUAAAGUAUCAGCCCUUGGUAUGUUGAAGAAGCAUGUUUGCCAUAAACCCUAGUUUAGUGUGUUUUGAGCAUAGAUCUCUCAAUCUACACGUAAAGUUUGCCACUUUACGUGGGGAAUAGGCCCUAGAAGUAUGGAUCUAUGAGUUGGAAGUUCUGUUUGGCUCGAAAAGCCACUGCAUGGAUUGAGGACUGGAUAGACUCGGCGAGUCCUUCGAGUGGACUCGGCGAGUAGCUUGAAGAUGAGGAGGAACUCGACGAGUAGGAUGAACAGCUCGUCGAGUCGGUUGAAGUUAGGCAUGGACUCGGCGAGUUGGAUGAACAACUCGACGAGUUGGUUGAAGAUUGUCUAGGACUCGGCGAGUCUGUUCUUGGACUCGGCGAGUCAGAUCGCGAAACCCUAAACCCUUUGAGUUGAGACUCGAAUCAGUGAGUCGGGUGGUGACUCAGCGAGUUGGACAGGACAGGACUUGGAACUAGUUGGACUCGGCGAGUCAUGGACUGACUCGGCGAGUCGGGUCGCGAAUAAGAAAGACCCUGAGCUUAUGAACUCGGCGAGUCUUUAGGAAGACUCGGCGAGUAGGGUUGACCUGGAAGGUUGACUUUGACCAGAGUUGACUUAGUUGACUGUCAGACUAAGUGUUAUAUGUAUAUUGAUAGCUCGGAGAGCUAGAGGAGCAGCGGUUCAGGGGAUUGUCGAGUAGCAGCCAGAGGUUUAUCAGCAGGGCUCAGCAGUUCAGGUGAGUUUCCUUCCAGUAGGAACGGGUCUAAGGCCACAAUGCCGGCCCGUUUAGCUAGCAGUAGUUUUCGGAUUUUGAUCUGAUGCAGUAGUUAGUAUGUUUGAUGCCUUCGUGGCUCAGACAGUAUUUAUGUGUUAUGUGUUCCGGGCUACGGCCCGAUGUAGUAUGCAGUAUACGUGUGUUCAUGCUAGUUGAUAUGUUU
rnacentral:lncRNA from 1 species